rnacentral:lncRNA from 1 species
CUGUGAAGGUAUAAAGGUAUAAAGUUGAUGAUAAGAGGGGUGCAGUGGGGCCCUGCAGGACCUGGAGGAGGAAUGGCUGUGUGGCACCGCAUGGAUCCAACUGGUUUAACCACAGAUGCUGAAAGCUGGAGUUCUCUAAUCACGGAGGCUAUGAGAAGAGCGCCCAGUUUCGCAUGCAUUGGAGAUGUCCUGCGGGUAUCCAAACCCAGACCUGGUAUUUGAUCAUCGCUCUGUGUUUCCCCAGAUUCUGCUACGGUCAGCUGUAUACAGUGUUUCUUGGCAGAUUUCUGUCAUCCGACUUCUCUACUAAAACCGAUGUACCAAACUCCUGCUGGGAUGCAGUGUGCUUGUGAGAUGCCAGCAGGCCUUGGAGUAUGAGGAUAAAGCUGAUAGGACUGGCAUGGUCCUGCCUGCAGGCUCAUUGCUAUGCUCUUACAAAUACAAGUGCUGCAGCAGUGACAGUCUAAGGAUAGAAGAGGUAAUACAUUUUACUAGAUUGACUAAUACAAAUGGAAAAAAGUGUAUAAACUUUUGGGUUUAAGAUAAGGGGAUUCUGAGACCAAGACCUUUCCUGCGUUUUUUGUUGAAACUGGAUCAAGGUCCUUGUUGCAGAGGAUGGACAGUCUAAUAGUGUAUGAACUCCUAAACACACAGUCUGCUAAGCCCAUCAGGAAUGCAAGGCUUUGAGUGGGAUCCAAUAAGACAGUUAAGUUCCUGAAAGAGGACUUGGACAGAUGUGAGGUACAUCAGUGAAAACCUGUGAUUCAAGAGACUCCAUUCAGCUGGUAUUUAGUGCUGGAGGUGCUCAGCUUUGACGUUUGCAUUUUCAGGGCAGAACCUAAAGUGAUGUCUCUUUGCAUAUCACAACGACAUUGCCCGUAACCCAGGAGUUAGUGCACUUGGAGAGGUGGGAAAAUGUUGACUGGAAACUGUUCUGACUGAAGAAGGCAUUUCAUUCACUAGACAAGCAUUUGCCUUUGCUUA